rnacentral:piRNA from 1 species
AGGAGACUCUCGUGAUAAGAAGACGUGG